GUCUACGAUGGUACUACGUUGAAUGCACCGCAUCCCGUCACAUCUGCGAAGUCAAGUAACGUUAGGCCGAGUAAGUACCAUGUUUGCAUACAACAUGGGAACUCUCGGAGUCGUAGACG
rnacentral:rRNA from 1 species